UGUUAAAAAUUUCAUCUAUUUAUACAAUUAAAAACAAGCGUGGUUGUUGGAAUAACCGGACAGUGACAUGUGAUGUGCCACAUGUACCUCAUGUUGGCAUACAUGACCAAUUUUUAACAACAAAAAUGGAUGAAAAUUUCAAUA
rfam:Gossypium raimondii Chr11_contig_915, whole genome shotgun sequence.